AUGGGACGUCCGUCGUCCGGCGGCGUGGGGCAGCCCAAGCUCCGCAAGGGGCUGUGGUCGCCUGAGGAAGACGAGAAGCUCUACAACCACAUCCUCCGUUACGGCGUGGGCUGCUGGAGCUCCGUCCCCAGGCUCGCCGGGCUGCACCGCUGCGGCAAGAGCUGCCGCCUCCGCUGGCUCAACUACCUCCGCCCCGACCUCAAGCGCGGCACCUUCUCGCAGGAGGAGGAGGACCACAUCGUCGCGCUCCACCAGAUCCUCGGCAACAGGUGGUCACAGAUCGCGUCGCACCUGCCGGGCCGGACGGACAACGAGAUCAAGAACUUCUGGAACAGCUGCAUCAAGAAGAAGCUCCGGCAACAAGGCAUCGACCCCGCCACGCACAAGCCCAUGGCCUCCGGCGCAGUCACGGCGGCAUUGCCGGACGUGGAAGUGGAAGACCGUAAGCCCCUUGCCGCGGCCGCCGACGGCAGCCUCGCUCUGAAGCAGUCGGCGGAGUUCGACCCGUUCCCGGUGUGCGCCGACUACGGCGGCGGGUUCGCCGGCGACCUUGGUGCCGCGAACGCGGCCGCACUGUACGUCCAGUUCGGCGACUGCAAGGACGGCGCGGACGACGAUGCCGGGUUCGGCGCCGCCGACUACAGCUGCGUGCUGGACGUGUCGGAGAACCUGGGCUACGGGGAGAGCUCAAGCAACAGCAGCAACUGGAACUACGGCGGCGAGGUGGGCAGCGUGCUCGACGGCGAGGUGCUGCACUGGGCCAAGGCGGAGAUGGAGCAGCAGCACGACGAGCCGUUGGAGCACAAGUUCUCGUUACCCUGCCAAGAACAGAGCCUCGCAAAUUUCGAGUUCAAUUUGGAACAAUAUUUUUGA
rnacentral:rRNA from 1 species